UUCCGAUUUUGGUUCUGUUGUUAGGGAUUUUACUUGUGACGUUAUUUAAGUUAUGACGUCAUGUUCAAUGUAAACAAAGAAACGCAAUGCAUCAGGUAGGCCUAACGUUUAUUCAUACCAAGGACAAAGAAUGAUUAAAAAUGAAAUAUUGGUAUUGUGUUCCUUGAGUUCCUAUAUUUUACUAGACUAAUCAAAGUCUCACGACAACAAGACCGGAAGAAGGAAGUAGAGUUAUGUGUUCUGCGCAGAUCCGGAAAUUAAAAAAACACGACAAAAAAAAAUUGAACGAUUUUGAGUUCAUUAGUACAAUGAAAAAUUCGGGAAAUUUUCCCGAUUUUUUUUUUUUUUUUUUUUUUUUAUUGAAUUUUCUACUGUAAUAGGGGACUUCGUCCUCAUAAUAUGAGGCAGGCAUUACCUGUAAAUGGGGACGAAGUCUGUAUGAAUUAUUUUUUUGUAACUUAAAUAUUUGUUUAAAAAAAAAGAAACGGAAAUACCGUAACGUUUCCGAUUUUGGUUCUGUUGUUAGGGAUUUAGUUGUGACGUUAUUUAAAUUAUGACGUCAUAUGCAAUGUAAACAAAGAAACGCUAUCAUCAGGUAACGUUUUUUCAUAUCAAGGAAUUAUUAAAAAUGAAAUUGGUAUUGCCCG
rnacentral:lncRNA from 1 species